CGAGUAAGAAGACGAUUCAAUUCAGAAAGACGAUUUGAACUCCGACUGUGACCCUGCCAGCACAGAUCGUGGACGGAGCUUUCACCUGCAUUCAUCUACUCUUCGUCAAUUUAUCAAGUUGCUGGGGAUGAAGUCACUGUAGGAGGUUGGAUGAUCAGUGUGGAAAACAACGUAAUCUGUGAAGGCAUCCAACAGACCUUCAUCACUGGCCUGGCUGCAGUUUUUGCCACCUACUAUGUCUUUAAUUUGCAGUACCAAGAAGAAGCUGCAAGGACAUUGGAGUUUGUUCAAAGACGCUUUGUUGGUGUGAACCCCGAGAGAGGAACAAAAGCUUGCCAGGCAAAGGUGGUGUCCAAGAAGACGGGGAAGCUUGUCC